AGCUGGUCUGAAGGUAGUAGUGAAUUAUCUCAACUGAUCGUUCACAGUCAGUUACAGAUCAAACUGUUCUACUCUUUCCCCUCUUCUCACUACUGCGCUUGAUCACUCUUAA
ensembl:misc_RNA Y_RNA Y RNA